rnacentral:sRNA from 1 species
AGCGUCGCCUCACGCGGAGCAGAGCUGAGCUGAAGCGGGACCCGGAGCCCGAGCAGCCGCCGCCAUGGCAAGUGAGUCCUGCAGGGCAGCCCUACUGAGGCCGGGACGGAACAGAUCCACCUUCCCCACACCCGUGCGGUCGGGCGCCCGCCAGCCAACCCUGACCGGCCCCCUGCAGAACGCGGCCCGUGCCCCCGGCCCUUCUCGAGUAUCCCCAUGAGUCCCGGGUGCGGCCGGCUCCCCUGGCCCUUCCUCUCACUCGUCCUGGGCAGAAGGCUUCCCUGGGUAGCGCGGAAGGUUACUCCUCUGUGUCCCAACUCUUCCUGUUUUGUUUCUCCCAUCAAAGUCAAAUUUCUGGAAGUCAUCAAGCCCUUCUGUGUCAUCCUGCCGGAAAUUCAGAAGCCGGAGAGGAAGAUUCAGUUUAAGGAGAAAGUGCUGUGGACCGCUAUCACCCUCUUUAUCUUCUUAGUGUGCUGCCAGAUUCCCCUGUUUGGGAUCAUGUCUUCAGAUUCAGCUGACCCUUUCUAUUGGAUGAGAGUGAUUCUAGCCUCUAACAGA